UAAAGGUUUCCUCCAAGGAGCUGGAAUUGAGAUAAGGACUGUGCAUGACCUAAAGGAGACUUUGAAAAGCUGUUGGAACAGCCUUCCUCCAGUCCAGUACCACUCAGUGGAGAUCCAGCCCUGGAGGUUAAGCUUUGCCGCUUUUCAAAAGGCAGAGGCAGGUGCCCCUGGGUCAAGCAUGGGGCUCUGGAUGGCGUUAGACUGCAAUACUCCACAGGCCAUUGAUCGACUGACUGAUGUAAGCAGACACCAUCCAGUGACAUGUUUUGAACCUGGCCAAGAAUUCAUCCUGGGGACCAUCUGAGUGAAGGGAGUCCAGCACUGAAGAGAACAAAUUGAUCAAAUUUGACAAAAGAAGACCAGCAGGGGCCCACCCUCACCCCAUUCCUAGAAGCAGCCCUAGGCCUGGGGAUCUGCGUCCAUUUCUGUGCCAAUUCUCCCCAUUCCAUUCCAUGUGACAACUUCAUUUCUAGAUUCCCCAGUCCUCCCCUCACCCCCCUUCCUCGCAGAGGAAGCAGGUGAAGAGGUUGUGUAUGCUUAGUAACCCUGGUGUUGGCCACUUGAUGUCUUUGCCUGCAGAGGGCAAAGCCUUACCCCAGCAGGAUGGACAUGGGGGGCACUCAGCACCUGGAGGUCCUUUCUGGAGCCCUUGCUCUAGAAAAUCUUGCAAAGGCCAUGUAUCACACUAAAGCAAGGCCUUUGGGUUGUAUGCGUCUGGGUGCUCUUUGCUCCAGACAAAGGUUAUCAUACCUUCCCUUCCCUCUGCAUGCAACCAAGAUAUGGGCGCUUCCCACCCAGACAGCCCUGGGUUAGCAUCCCAGGGCUACUUCUGAGCUGUCACACAGCCUCCCUGGGGGUGCAUUUUGCUCAUCUGUGAAAUCAGGGCCCUAGGGAAGACUUUGUUCUGGAUGAUCCUCCUUGCUAAGUGAUUCCUUCCCUCUGCCAUCCUCCAGGACUUAUGGUCACCCACAGCCAGAGAGGAUGCUUGGCAAGUGUAUGGGCACCAUCUAAUUAAACUUCUUGUUACCCGUGGUAGAGUUUAUUGAUUGUCCUCCAAUGUGUACUUUUCCUGUCUUUCACAGAACAUCUGAUUUUUGUCUGGGCACGUGGCCAACCAGAAUAAAGACUACAUUUCCCA
rnacentral:lncRNA from 1 species